GAUGAACGCUAGCGAUAGGCUUAACACAUGCCAGUCGAGGGGCAGCAUGGUCUUAGCUUGCUAAGACUGAUGGCGACCGGCGCACGGGUGCGUAACGCGUAUGCAACUUGCCUCACAGAGGGGGAUAACCCGUCGAAAGACGGACUAAUACCGCGUACACUUGGGAUAGGGCAUCCUGACCCAAGGAAAUGAAAUUCGCUGUGAGAUAGGCAUGCGUCCCAUUAGCUAGUUGGUGAGGUAACGGCUCACCAAGGCGACGAUGGGUAGGGGAACUGAGAGGUUGAACCCCCACACUGGUACUGGGACACGGACCAGACUCCUACGGGAGGCAGCAGUGAGGAAUAUUGGUCAAUGGGCGAGAGCCUGAACCAGCCAAGUCGCGUGAAGGAUGACUGUCUUAUGGAUUGUAAACUUCUUUUAUACGGGAAUAACAAGAGCCACGUGUGGCUCCCUGCAUGUACCGUAUGAAUAAGCAUCGGCUAACUCCGUG
rnacentral:rRNA from 1 species